rnacentral:lncRNA from 1 species
AUGUUUGUAGGAAAGGCGUGUGUCGGAGAGGCGUGUGUCGGGGAGGGAGAGGCGUGUGUCGGAGGGCGCUCUUGGUCGGAGAAGAGGCGUUCUGAUGUCGACGAGGAGGUGGCGGGAGGCGUGUGUGGCAGAGGCGUGUGUCGGAGAAGGGUGUGUCGGAGAGGCGUGUGUCGGAGGGGAGAGGCGUGUGUCGGAGAGGGGAGAGGCGUGUGUCUGGGAUGGUGGGAGGCGUGUGUGGGGGAGGCGCUAUUUUUUUUUGUGUCGAGAGGCAA